UCCAAAAGACCAAAGCAACAAAUUCCAUUAAUUUUCACCAAAAUAAGAAAAGUAUAAACUUUCUUCCUGCCCGAAAAGGGUCUAAAUCAUUCAUUCACUGUUCUUGAGAGCCAGAUAUGGCUCUUUCUUGACACAGGCAUGGUCCCUCCAGACAACCUUUUUCUUUUCGAUCCUUUUUUCUGGUUUCCUAGCUGUGCCCCUUUCUGUCUCCAAUUUUCUUCUUCCCUCCACGAGAUGACAUGACAACAGCUCCUCUAUCUCUAUUCUAUUGUUCUUCACUCGAUCUCACGACCCAAAACUUGCAGUUUAGAUUUUCAACUGCAACAAGUUAAGUUCACCGUCGGCGCCUUGGUUUGGGCGAUUUCCAGUGAGGCUGAUCAAGUCAUCAAACUUAAUUCAAGGUAGAGCAAAGGUGGAGGAACCUUUCCAUACAUCAUUACAUUGGCGUGCGAAGAAAAGUUAGGACUAAAACUAAAGCCAACACCAUCGACCUAAAGACCCGUGAAGCCCCACCUCCGACAGGCACACCAUUUGGGUUUGAUCCAUCUCGUCAUCGCCGACGUCUCUCUAUCCUUGGCUGGUCUGGUUGCUGGGUGUGGAGAGAGAAUUGGACCUCGAAAAUCUUGGGUUCUUCUGUGUACAAAUUUCGGCGGCUCUGGCAAUGUUUUGAGGUGCAUGAGGUAUGAAAGUUGAUCUACUCUUCGUGUUCUACAUGCUAGUAUAAAUGGUUUUUGAAUUUGAUAACAUUUUGGAAGAAUUGAUUUUUGGGUCUUCGGCCACUUUUGCUACAACCUUCUGUGGCAGUGGUUCCGAGUUCAAUUGGGGAUAGAAAAUGAGGUGUGCUUGUGUUUAAUCUCAGAAUUGGUGAAAGUUGUUGAGAAGGAGAGCAUAACGAGAAUUUUCAGUAGAAGGUGAGAAUGAGAGCUUCCAUAAUCCCAUGGUUUUUGGAGUCUCUAUGGUAGAUAGUGUUAGAGAGAAUUUGAGACUCUAAAGUCUCAACAGUCCUGGUUGUUGCCAAACAUAGGAUUAGUGUAACACAAGUUGAUAAGGAUGUCCAAUCUCAUGUAACAAACACCCUCAAAAUGUAAACUUCAUCUAAGGCUAAUAAUGAAGGUGCAGGCUAAUCGUCCCCGGUCACCACAAUUGUAAUAUAAAUUAGUGCUAAUUAGUAGUGAUGGAGCGAAGUCAGAGCUUAAUUAUUAUGCUUCGAUCAGUAGCUAGCUACUUUGCGCUGGAAACCCAGUUUACAACUAGGCUUCUUAUUUUCCAAAGAGAAAGGGCCGCGCCACAUGCUAAAGGGUGCAGCAUCAUCACGUAUAUAGCCAAAUGUGCAUGCAUAUAUAAAAUAAAACACUUGCAGAUUAAGUAAUGUGAGAUUAAGGAUAAGCAAACGUUGAAAGGUAGCAAACUCUUCUGUAACAGCACGAUCGAUCCCAUAUCUUUUUCUCCUUUUCUUUAUACUUCAUUUAAAAGCAUAUCCCUACCAUUUCCCAUAUCCAUAUUACCCACCUAAUUGUGGGAAAAUUAUUCAAAAAUCCCAUCAUAAUACAAAUGGUCAAUGCUAAUCCAACAAGCUUUUUAACCUUUCGACUAAAAAUUUAAAUUGAGUUAAUUUGUUAGAUAUUCAAAAGUGCGUAAUAGCAAAUUAAAGAGUGGAAUAACAUACAACUAGCAUUGGUAAGAAUAUGUAGAUUGUAUAUGCCAACACUUAAUUUUUUCUUCUUCUAAUCCUGUCUUAAUCGAUCGUUCUUUAUAGGAGAGUGUGCUUAUUAUUUAUGUCAUUCUUGCUAAAUAAAAAAUCUAAAUCAAAUAACUUCUUAACCACGUACUCUUUCUCAUGUUGAUCUCCUCAAUGAUUCUAAUCACUGUGCUUUAACUAUGAUUACUAUUAAAGAUAAUACCUUCCUAAGUUAAUCAGGUCACCGGUGGACCAGAAGUACAGACCAGAAGUAAACAUCAAAUUUGGAAGGGUUAAGAU